CUUUGAGCCAUUUCAACGUGUAGAAGAGAAUAAUCGAAUUUUGUUUAUUUAAAUGGCCAUCUCCUAAGAAUGGUUUAUGCCGCUUCCAAAGAGAAUUGUGUGCUAUCUAUCUAAUAACCAGGCACUGUAAAACUAAUAUAUGUAACAAAAAUGCUAUAGAUAAUUACAAGGCAGCUGCUCUAAAGCUGUCAGGAUGGAGAAGAUGGUUUAUAUCUUGUUUUUUCUGGUCAGUCCCUCUGCUCAUAGGAACGUGGUAAGCUGGGAACAGUGAAGCUGUGCAGCCCUUGAUCCCUCUAAAGAAGGCUUCCAAGUUGGUCAGAUGCUUUGCUUUUGAUUUCAUAUUUGUUGUAAUACAAACUGAGAGUGUGAAGAAAAAAUGAAAGACCAACCACCUGAUUCUUCACUAUUCCUCGCUCUUAUUGGAGGGGAACUCUAGCUGUGGGAAAGAAGUCUACGUGUCAAAAUCCCCUUUGGGCCUAUUUUUAAGCAUCUAGAUAUAUCUGAGAGCAGCUCCAGGAUUUGUAUGACUACAGUGCUCCUCAAGACUCAACUCCAAUGUGACUCAAAGGGAUGAAUUUUGCCCAGGAGAUUUUCUACAUGACCUUGGAAAAGUUGGAUGGGGCUGACUCUGCCCUGGAAGUCAAUGGGCUGUAUUUUACAAAGAGAGGAGAAUUAAGACUGCAUCAUUCCUGUACCUCUUGUCUCUUCACCUGUAAAAUGAAUUUAACGAUGCACUCCUACCCCCUCUGGGUGCGGCAAAGCUAA
rnacentral:lncRNA from 1 species